GUAGUCCACGCCGUAAACGAUGGAUACUAGCUGUUGGGGUUUACCUCAGUGGCUAAGCGAAAGUGAUAAGUAUCCCACCUGGGGAGUACGUUCGCAAGAAUGAAACUCAAAGGAAUUGACGGGGGCCCGCACAAGCGGUGGAGCAUGUGGUUUAAUUCGAUGAUACGCGAGGAACCUUACCAAGGCUUAAAUGUAGAUUGACAGGACUGGAAACAGUUUUUCCUUCGGGCAAUUUACAAGGUGCUGCAUGGUUGUCGUCAGCUCGUGCCGUGAGGUGUCAGGUUAAGUCCUAUAACGAGCGCAACCCCUGUUGUUAGUUGCCAGCGAGUCAUGUCGGGAACUCUAACAAGACUGCCAGUGUAAACUGUGA
rnacentral:rRNA from 1 species